rnacentral:rRNA from 1 species
AACGAACGCUGGCGGCAGGCUUAAUACAUGCAAGUCGAACGGGCGCAGCAAUGCGUCAGUGGCAGACGGGUGAGUAACACGUGGGAACCUUCCUCGUUGUACGGAACAACUCAGGGAAACUUGAGCUAAUACCGUAUAAGUCCGAGAGGAGAAAGAUUUAUCGCAAUGAGACGGGCCCGCGUCGGAUUAGGUAGUUGGUGAGGUAACGGCUCACCAAGCCAACGAUCCGUAGCUGAUCUGAGAGGAUGAUCAGCCACACUGGGACUGAGACACGGCCCAGACUCCUACGGGAGGCAGCAGUAGGGAAUCUUGGACAAUGGGCGCAAGCCUGAUCCAGCCAUGCCGCGUGAGUGAAGAAGGCCUUCGGUU